rnacentral:rRNA from 1 species
AGUGAACGCUGGCGGUAGGCCUAACACAUGCAAGUCGAACGGCAGCACAGUAAGAGCUUGCUCUUACGGGUGGCGAGUGGCGGACGGGUGAGGAAUACAUCGGAAUCUACUUUUUCGUGGGGGAUAACGUAGGGAAACUUACGCUAAUACCGCAUACGACCUACGGGUGAAAUCAGGGGAUCUUCGGACCUUGCGCGUUUGAAUGAGCCGAUGUCGGAUUAGCUAGUUGGCGGGGUAAAGGCCCACCAAGGCGACGAUCCGUAGCUGACCUGAGAGGAUGAUCAGCCACACUGGAACUGAGACACGGUCCAGACUCCUACGGGAGGCAGCAGUGGGGAAUAUUGGACAAUGGGCGCAAGCCUGACCCAGCCAUGCCGCGUGGGUGAUGAAGGCCUUCGGGUUGUAAAGCCCUGUUGUUGGGAAAGAAAAGCAGCAGGUGAAUACCCCGCUGUUCUGACGGUACCCAAAGAAUAAGCACCGGCUAACUUCGUG